rnacentral:rRNA from 1 species
UACGUAGGGGGCAAGCGUUGUCCGGAAUCAUUGGGCGUAAAGAGCGUGUAGGCGGUUCGGUAAGUCGGCUGUGAAAGUCCAGGGCUCAACCCUGGGAUGCCGGUCGAUACUGCCGGACUAAAGUUCGGAAGAGGCGAGUGGAAUUCCCGGUGUAGCGGUGAAAUGCGCAGAUAUCGGGAGGAACACCUAUGGGCGAAGGCAGCUCGCUGGGACGUUACUGACGCUGAGACGCGAAAGCGUGGGGAGCAAACAGG